CGGGGUAGAGUAACGCGUGGAGAACCUGCCGUAUACUGGGGGAGUAACACUUAGAAAUAGGUGCUAAUACCGCAUAAGCGCACAGCUUCGCAUGAAGCAGUGUGAAAAACUCCGGUGGUAUACGAUGGAUCCGCGUCUGAUUAGCUGGUUGGCGGGGUAAAGGCCCACCAAGGCGACGAUCAGUAGCCGGCCUGAGAGGGUGAACGGCCACAUUGGGACUGAGACACGGCCCAAACUCCUACGGGAGGCAGCAG
rnacentral:rRNA from 1 species